rnacentral:sRNA from 1 species
AUCUAAACCUGAUAGAGCCAAUAGCUCCCGAUUUUAUCGAAUAUUUUAUAUCUAAAGGGUGUCCAAAUCGGGACUAUAGGUGAUAGCAGGACUAUCG